AGAAAGCUAACCCAAGUUGCUUGGAAUACCUUGUCAUAGAGGGUGACAACCCCGUCUGGCUAACCGUUCUCCAUGUAUUGCCUUAUCAAAGAGUCGAGUUGUUUGGGAAUGCAGCUCAAAGUGGGUGGUAAACUCCAUCUAAAGCUAAAUACUGGUGAGAGACCGAUAGCGAACAAGUACUGUGAAGGAAAGGUGAAAAGAACUUUGAAAAGAGAGUGAAAUAGUAUGUGAAAUUGUUGAUAGGGAAGGAAAUGAGUGGAGAGUGGCCGAGGUUUCAGCCGCCCCUCGUGGGCGGUGUACUGCCGACGCCGAGUCAUCGAUAGCGAGACGAGGGUUACAAAUGGGAGCGCCUUUCGGGCGUUCUCCCCUAACCCUCCACACUGCCACCGACGACAUAAUCCACCCAUUUCACCCGUCUUGAAACACGGACC
rnacentral:rRNA from 1 species